rnacentral:lncRNA from 1 species
UAGGGUCGGUUGCCUGAUCCAUUCUGCGGUGAGGCUCCAAAUCUUCCUUGUGUAUCUGCAUUCUGCUAUAGGAGAUGGUGGGCCGAUUUCGUAGUUGUAGUUCUGUGACAGAGCGGACAAGUUGGGCUGUGUUGCCACCUACAACGGGCCAGCUGAUCUGACGUCCAUACGUGGUUCUGGGUGACUAGCCAUGCGAAGAAUUUGCACUUUGGUGGAGCCUAGUUUUUCCAAAUCGUGUUGUUGUGUGUGUGUGUGUGGGGGGGGGGGGGGGGCUCAGGUGCAACCGUUGAAUCGAGCUUUGUAUGCUGAGGCGGCCGAGUAUGUCCUGCUGGCCGUUAGCUUCGAUGUGAUCUGAUCUUCCUGAUGUGGAUGGAGUCAUACUUCGUGUAGUAAAACCCAAAGGCGCACGAAUUCUUCUAGGUGACUUGUUAUUAACCCGUUGUUGCUCAGUGCUUCCUCCACCGUCCGCUUUUUAGCCUGUGAAAUCUUGAAUAAGUUCGACGCAAUGUCCUUAGGUCUCCGCCCCUGUAUCCACCCUGAAUGCCAAAAGCUUGUUCUUUUUCUGUUGCCAAUCGUAAUAUGUGUGCAAGCUGCAAAAAGUAGGCAGUCAGUUUCAACGUACG